GAUGAACGCUGGCGGCGUGCCUAAUACAUGCAAGUCGAGCGAACGGACGAGAAGCUUGCUUUUCUGAUGUUAGCGGCGGACGGGUGAGUAACACGUGGAUAACCUACCUAUAAGACUGGGAUAACUUCGGGAAACCGGAGCUAAUACCGGAUAAUAUUUUGAACCGCAUGGUUCAAAAGUGAAAGACGGUCUUGCUGUCACUUAUAGAUGGAUCCGCGCUGCAUUAGCUAGUUGGUAAGGUAACGGCUUACCAAGGCAACGAUGCAUAGCCGACCUGAGAGGGUGAUCGGCCACACUGGAACUGAGACACGGUCCAGACUCCUACGGGAGGCAGCAGUAGGGAAUCUUCCGCAAUGGGCGAAAGCCUGACGGAGCAACGCCGCGUGAGUGAUGAAGGUCUUCGGAUCGUAAAACUCUGUUAUUAGGGAAGAACAUAAGUGUAAGUAACUGUGCACAUCUUGACGGUACCUAAUCAGAAAGCCACGGCUAACUACGUG
rnacentral:rRNA from 1 species